AUACGGAGGGUGCAAGCGUUAUCCGGAAUCAUUGGGUUUAAAGGGUCCGUAGGCGGACUAUUAAGUCAGAGGUGAAAUCCCACAGCUCAACUGUGGAACUGCCUUUGAUACUGGUAGUCUCGAGUUAUAUGGAAGUAGAUAGAAUGUGUAGUGUAGCGGUGAAAUGCAUAGAUAUUACACAGAAUACCGAUUGCGAAGGCAGUCUACUACGUAUAUACUGACGCUAAGGGACGAAAGCGUGGGGAGCGAACAGGAUUAGAAACCCCAGUAGUCC
rnacentral:rRNA from 1 species